rnacentral:lncRNA from 1 species
AUUGUGUACCUUUACUCUUGUGGUGAUUUCUCCGUGUAACGAGCAAUCAGUCGACAACUCUCACACCAGUUGGCAUAAGGUGUCGGGCAUCAAGACUCCCCUACGGACUUAUACUCGGAGUCCUCAUCACAAACCCACUUGACCUUUGACAAUAGGUAGCCCUUUUCGAUGUUCCUGACUAAAUCCAUUUUUUAUUGAUGAAUAUUCUUUUCUUUUUGGGAUUAGAUAAGUAUGAUUCAUCAGGGUCUAAGGUUGCUACUAUACUAUCAACAUAGUGUCGAGCCUAGACCUUAGAAGUGUCGGCCAAUGUGUAAUGAAAUUAGCUUACAACUCACUAAGAGAGACUUAAUAAAAGGAACUCAAUUUUGCAUUACUUUCGACUAAUCAUUGGGCUUUUUAGAUUUUAUAUACCUUGUGUGUUUAUCAUUCUCGCAUUAAUGUAUAGAAAUUAGGUUUUAAAACCCUCUUUUUUUAUUAUUAUC